ACACUCCUGCGGGAGGCAGCAGUGGGGAAUAUUGGACAAUGGGCGCAAGCCUGAUCCAGCCAUGCCGCGUGAGUGAUGAAGGCCCUAGGGUUGUAAAGCUCUUUCACCGGUGAAGAUAAUGACGGUAACCGGAGAAGAAGCCCCGGCUAACUUCGUGCCAGCAGCCGCGGUAAUACGAAGGGGGCUAGCGUUGUUCGGAUUUACUGGGCGUAAAGCGCACGUAGGCGGACUAUUAAGUCAGGGGUGAAAUCCCGGGGCUCAACCCCGGAACUGCCUUUGAUACUGGUAGUCUUGAGUUCGGGAGAGGUGAGUGGAAUUCCGAGUGUAGAGGUGAAAUUCGUAGAUAUUCGGAGGAACACCAGUGGCGAAGGCGGCUCACUGGCUCGAUACUGACGCUGAGGUGCGAAAGCGUGGGGAGCAAACAGGAUUAGAAACCCCUGUAGUCCCAUG
rnacentral:rRNA from 1 species